rnacentral:lncRNA from 1 species
UUGAGACUGAGGCCGGGGUAAAAGGGCUCAGUUUGUGCUUGAUUGACUCAUCCCGACGUGGCAAAGGUCCUGGCUUUCACCGGCGUGGGUAAGGGAAGAAGCGCUUUAUAAUGAGUGUGGCUGGUAUGGCUUCCUGAUUACAUUCUGGGGAAGAUCUUGCCUAGAGAAGAUCUGCUAGAGAAGGAGGCAAGACACUGAUAAUGAAGACUAUAGUAGACUGAAUUACUCUCUGAGAUGAGGAGUUUGCUCUUGCCAUUUCAUAACCACUGGUGGCAGUUUUCGUCUUGCUUACAAGCUCUCCAGUUAUGCUCAGUAUUUCCAUGACAUCCCAAGACAUGCGGGCCAUGCUGCCACAUCCCCCUGUUUAACAAGUGUGGAAACUGAUAAUGGACUUACAAUGGCUGAUGUACUAUUUAGUGGUACAGGUUCUAACGUUUUAUAUUGUGGACAUGGGAUACCCAGACUGAGGUUCGUGGAUUUUUGAAAUAACCAGUAAUAAGAUAUUUGUGACUCAAUUUUGAGUGAAUGAACUUGAUUUAUUAUGAUUAUAUUGUUCAGUUAGUCUGUAAGUAAAUAUAUAAAGAAAUGAAAAAGGG